rnacentral:lncRNA from 1 species
CAAUCUCCAUAAAGGAAUCUGCAGCUUAUAAAGCUGUGAAUGCACUUCAGUCAGUAUACGGGGUACGAUACAGAUAUGGACCAGCCUCCACAACGUUGUAUGUGAGCUCUGGUAGCUCAAUGGAUUGGGCCUACAAAAAUGGAAUACCUUAUGCAUUUGCUUUCGAACUACGUGACACUGGAUAUUUUGGAUUUUUACUCCCAGAGAUGCUCAUCAAACCCACCUGUACAGAAACUAUGCUGGCUGUGAAAAAUAUCACAAUGCACCUGCUAAAGAAAUGUCCCUGAGACAGCCCAAGGCUCAGGUCAACUGCCAUAGGAUUCUGAGCAAGGCCUACUUGGCCCUGGAUAGAAAUUGUUUUCAAAGAGAAGGGCAGCUGCUUAGAGUGAACAUGUCUAUGGACUUUAAAAAGACCCCACGCAAUUUGACUUUGUGGCAAUAGAAAACAGUAAAAAACAGGGCAUAGCCUAGUUUGUUAUAAGAAAAAGCAUCCAUUUUCUAUCCUUUUAGAGUCUUAUUUGAUUAUGGUGGGAGGGAAUGUUUUCAAAUUUCCCAUUUCUCAAGAAAUGUUCAUAUUAAUUGAGGAUUUCCCUUCAAUAAAUCUCAUGUCCUCAAUUAGGAUCUAGGCUAGUAAUGAUGUUUAAUUACUUGGUUCUCAUUGGAAAUGGAAAAUUAUGAAAUGGAAAAAAACAACUAUGCUUCUUAAUGUAAUAAACAUAGGCCGGGCGCGGUGGCUCACACCUGUAAUUCCAG